rnacentral:rRNA from 1 species
AGAGUUUGAUCAUGGCUCAGAUUGAACGCUGGCGGCAGGCCUAACACAUGCAAGUCGAGCGGAAACGAGUUAUCUGAACCUUCGGGGAACGAUAACGGCGUCGAGCGGCGGACGGGUGAGUAAUGCCUAGGAAAUUGCCCUGAUGUGGGGGAUAACCAUUGGAAACGAUGGCUAAUACCGCAUGAUGCCUACGGGCCAAAGAGGGGGACCUUCGGGCCUCUCGCGUCAGGAUAUGCCUAGGUGGGAUUAGCUAGUUGGUGAGGUAAGGGCUCACCAAGGCGACGAUCCCUAGCUGGUCUGAGAGGAUGAUCAGCCACACUGGAACUGAGACACGGUCCAGACUCCUACGGGAGGCAGCAGUGGGGAAUAUUGCACAAUGGGCGCAAGCCUGAUGCAGCCAUGCCGCGUGUGUGAAGAAGGCCUUCGGGUUGUAAAGCACUUUCAGUCGUGAGGAAGGUAGUGUAGUUAAUAGCUGCAUUAUUUGACGUUAGCGACAGAAGAAGCACCGGCUAACUCCGUGCCAGCAGCCGCGGUAAUACGGAGGGUGCGAGCGUUAAUCGGAAUUACUGGGCGUAAAGCGCAUGCAGGUGGUUUGUUAAGUCAGAUGUGAAAGCCCGGGGCUCAACCUCGGAAUUGCAUUUGAAACUGGCAGACUAGAGUACUGUAGAGGGGGGUAGAAUUUCAGGUGUAGCGGUGAAAUGCGUAGAGAUCUGAAGGAAUACCGGUGGCGAAGGCGGCCCCCUGGACAGAUACUGACACUCAGAUGCGAAAGCGUGGGGAGCAAACAGGAUUAGAUACCCUGGUAGUCCACGCCGUAAACGAUGUCUACUUGGAGGUUGUGGCCUUGAGCCGUGGCUUUCGGAGCUAACGCGUUAAGUAGACCGCCUGGGGAGUACGGUCGCAAGAUUAAAACUCAAAUGAAUUGACGGGGGCCCGCACAAGCGGUGGAGCAUGUGGUUUAAUUCGAUGCAACGCGAAGAACCUUACCUACUCUUGACAUCCAGAGAACUUUCCAGAGAUGGAUUGGUGCCUUCGGGAACUCUGAGACAGGUGCUGCAUGGCUGUCGUCAGCUCGUGUUGUGAAAUGUUGGGUUAAGUCCCGCAACGAGCGCAACCCUUAUCCUUG